AAGGAUUUAAGUUAAGUAAACUAUUAACCUUCAAAGUUAAAAAUAUAUAUUUGUGUAUUAUAAGCCUUA
rnacentral:tRNA from 1 species